UACAGAGGUCUCAAGCGUUGUUCGGAUUCAUUGGGCGUAAAGGGUGCGUAGGCGGCGCGGUAAGUCGGAUGUGAAAUCUCGGAGCUUAACUCCGAAACUGCAUUCGAUACUGCGGUGCUUGAGGACUGGAGAGGAGACUGGAAUUUACGGUGUAGCAGUGAAAUGCGUAGAGAUCGUAAGGAAGACCAGUGGCGAAGGCGGGUCUCUGGACAGUUCCUGACACUGAGGCACGAAGGCCAGGGGAGCAAACGGG
rnacentral:rRNA from 1 species